UGGUGCAAAAGUAAUUGCGGUUUUUGCCAUUGAAAAUAAUGACAAAAACCGCAAUCACUUCUGCACCAA
ensembl:miRNA